rnacentral:rRNA from 1 species
GCGUAUAUUAAAGUUGCUGCGUUUAAAAAGCUCGUAGUUGUAUCUCAGUUCAUGUCAAUUGGUCAAUCACUUAAUAGUGAUUACUUUUUGACUGAACAUUAAACCGAUUUGUUUUCUGAUGCUCUUUACCGGGUGUUAUUAACGAUCGGGAUCUUUACUUUGAAAAAAUUAGAGUGCUCAAAGCAGGCAUUUCGCCUAAAUAUUCUUGCAUGGAAUAAUGGAAUAAGAUCUAGGUUCUAUUCUGUUGGUCUUUUGAACCUCAGUUAAUGAUUAAAAGGGACAGACGGGGGCAUUCGUAUUGCGGCGCUAGAGGUGAAAUUCUUGGACCGUCGCAAGACGAACUAC